GGAGAAGUGGCCGAGUGGCUGAAGGCGCACGCCUGGAAAGUGUGUAUAGGUUAAUAGCCUAUCGAGGGUUCGAAUCCCUCCUUCUCCGCCA
rnacentral:tRNA from 1 species